rnacentral:lncRNA from 1 species
AAACCUGCACACACCUACAAUAACACAUUUAUUUGCAAUGCAAAACAUGCUUUCUUUACUCUCAGCAGCUCAUAGGGUUGUAGGUUAAAGGGAAGAAGCAAUGCAUUAUAAUUUCCAAGUCUGUGGCAACAUAUCUUGGCAGAACGUUUUGUGCCAGGCUGUUUUUGCUCCAGCCUCACCCCCUCUAAUUCACCAACCAGCACUCUGCCAGCUUUAACAUUUUAAGGGGAAUGUGCUGUAAUUUCCUGUGGUUUAUAUGUUUAGAAGAAACAAGAGAUAGUGUUUCAAAAGUGUAGAUUAUUAGCACUAUUUCCAUGUAAUUCUUCCCUGCUACAAAUAACAAAUAACAAUCAUUAUAACAACUAUUAUUAUUAUAUAUGUAUAUAAAUAUAAUGCCUUUACACAGAGGUCAGCCCUUGACGGUGAACUGGAGAAAACACAGGCCCGUUAUGGGACCAGUUGGCUAGGCUUCAGGCUACUGUUAGCAGCCUGGGCACCAGCUUAGUCAAUUUCAUGCUAACAUUGGCAACAACAAGCGAGAGUAUGAAACGCUGCUGGACGUCAAGACCAGACUGGAGCUUGAGAUUGCAGAGUACAGGAGACUGCUGGAUGGAGAUGAGAGGUGAUGCUCAAGAAAAAAAAAUUCUUGAAUAUCUUGUUGGUCUUGUUGAAAUGUAAUAUCUUGUGAUUUAGUGCAUGCUGAAUUUGAAAUUAAAAAGUGUACUUCUUUCGCUUCUUAAAUGCAUUACUGACACCAACUCUCUUUCUCUAUCUGAUUUAACAGGAAGUCCCAAAAAAUUGUCACCAAAACAAUCACAGUGGUGGAAACCGUGGUGGAUGGGAGGAUCAUGGAGAGCAGCGAGAGUGUGGAUGUUAAUGAGCGAGAUAACUAAUCUGCUCAAAAACACACCACAUGUUUUACUCAUGCCUUCUGUAUUGCACACUUACACAGUUAAUGAACUCUCUGUUAAAUGACAAUCUCACGCCUGAUGUACUGCAAGCACAAAUCUCAAAAUGUAUCACCAACCUUUCAGAAACAAUGCUUUGAUAUUGACUUAAAACAGUAAACAGAUUUAACAUGACACAAACCACGGCUUCACUGAUUUUAUUCUCAAAAAAUGGGUCACAGUGGAAGGCC